rnacentral:tRNA from 1 species
UGUAGGGUAAGCUAAGUUGAAGCUUUUGGGCUCAUGCCCCGAAAAUGGUGCGUAGGCAUCCUCUGCUG